rnacentral:lncRNA from 1 species
CCGGAGUCAAAUCUUGGGCCGGGUCCAAGGGCCUGAGCGCCUGGUUUAGGCCGGAAAUGGUCUAGUUCUCAGAGGUGGUCCGAUCCCUAACCAGUCCCAGGCCCAGCCCCAGCCCAGCACCACCUGGAAGGUUCAAGUACAUGGAGGAGAGGAGUAAGGCGGACUUGGGCGUAUGGAGAAAGGGGUGAAGGGAGAAAGAGGACUUGCGCUCAGGAGGGAGCGUGGCCUACUGGUGGGAAAGCAGGCGUGGCCGCCUGUGCGGGAGGUUGCGGAUCCACAGUGGGCGAGACCAGGCCCCAGCCCCAUCAGGGCGCGGGGUGCGCAGCCAGGUGGUGCUCCAGCAGCGCCCAGUGAGAGGAGACCUUGCGGUAGACGGGGGAAGGGCGCGCGCUCUGGCCGCUGAGUGCGCAUGUGCAUAUUGAGCGAACUCUUCUGCGGGAAGGGCUUGGCGUAGACCGCGCACUGGAAGGCGUGCGCGCAGGUGUGCGUGACCAUGUGCUUGAAACGGCAGUAGCGCAGCGAGAAGGAUCGCCAUCACACGGCGCACUGGUGCGGCUUCUCCCCCGAGUGGAUGAACAUGUGCUUGGUGUCGUUUUUCCUUGAGCUGAACGUCUUGCAACAGUGGCCGCACGCAUAGGCAAGUGGCUCGGCACCAGGAGUGCGAGCAGUGGUGCCUGAGGGGGCCGUGGUGGGAGCAGCAGAGGGAGCCGGGGCCUCCCGCAGCUGAGUGCCGGGGGCUGCCUCGGGCUGGAGUGUGGGGUAGAAGGCGGGUGGGGGCGCAGGGGCUGGCACGGAUGGUGCUGAAGGGGGUGGUGCGGGUGGUUCGGGAGCACCCAAGUGAAAGGGGAAGAGUGCGACAGGCGGCCCUGGGGUCUUCACGCCAGGCGGGCGGGGUCCAGCCAGUAUGCAGUCGGGCUGGACAGGGGUCUCGGUGGGACAGCCUUCGGGGACAGCGCCAUCCUUGUCGUGCCAAGCGGUUACAUAGCUGUCUGGAAAUACGUCCUCAGCUGCCCCAGAUCCCGGAAGAAAAUCUCUCCCACACCACUGUAGUCAGAGAGGCCAGUGGGUGCAUGGAACUCCUCGCACGCGCUGUCAGCAGCAGCAGUGAGGAAGCCGGCAGCACAGUCUGGGAAGGAAGGAGGUGCUUGGCUCUCUCCCGGGCCGCCACCUUCGCCGUCCUCGCCAUCGGUCUCAUCGUCAGUUUCCUCGUCAUCGUUGUCACCUCGGUCGUCAGGGGCCGCGGACAGUGAGGGGUAGGCACCAAGCCCCUCGGCUUUGGCAGGUGUCGGGGGCGCAGGCAGCUGCAAACUCGCGGGCCGGCGCUGCUUACCGCUGUGCGCGGCACCGGGGUGCCCCGGGGGUGCGCAGCCAGCAGGUGGCGCAGGCGGUGACGCAGCUGCUCAGGUGCGAGUGGCGGGGGCACAGGGGUGGGCAGGGGCGCGGGUGCAGAGGUGCUCGCGGGUGCAGAGGAGCGCGUGCGAUAAUCUGCGUGCAUUCGUCGAUAACUGUCUAUGCGAAGCACCGACGCAGCCAUGAGUACCUGCGGGGCUUCACUCUGUGCCACAACGAGCGAACCGCUGUACAGGAGCUCGACUAGCUGUCGCACCGUCUGCACAGGCACCACCGAAGGCACACGGAUCUCAGAGGGGCCGAGCAGCAGCUUGUCUUGGAAGGAGGGCGAGCCGAUUGCCAGCCCGCAGCGGUGCGCACGCAGCGAAGCUUCAUGAAUGCACACAGUCACGUCGCAGAAGUGCCCACCCAGCUUCUGCCCAUUGAGGGUCUCAAGCAGAGAGCGUGAGAAGUUCUGCAGAUGUAUGUGGCGCACAGCCUCUACAGCCGCCGACUCCGACUCCUCUUCAGGCACCAGGCCUGGCCGUGGCCGCCUUCUCACCGACUCCAAGGCAGCACUUCCGGGCGCUUCUCUUUAUUUUUAUACAGUUUUAUUGAGAUAUAAUUUACAUGCUAUCCAGCCCAUCUAUUUCAAGUGUACCAUGCAAGGGGUUUGUAUAUAUUCACAGAGUUGUGUAUCCAUCACCAUCGUUUUAGAACAUUCAUCACUCCAGAAGAAACUACUACCCAUCAGCAGCCACUGCCCAUUUCCCUGAUCUGCCCCGCCCUAGGAAAUCCGUAAUCACUUUCAGUCUAUGGAUUUGCCUAUUCUAGACCAUUCAUAUAAAUGAAGUCACACAACACUGGGUCUUAUGUGACUGGCUUCUAUCAAAGUUUGCAAGGUUCAUUUAUGUUCAUGGUAUGUAUCAGUAGCUUGUUACUUUUUAUGUUUGACUUCUAUUCUGUUACUUACCUACACCGUAUUUUAUCUAUCUCUUCUGCAGUUUAUGGGAUUUAGGUCGUUUCCACGUUUUGGCUGUUCUAAAUAAUGCUGCUCUGAGCGUUCACAUACAAGCUUUUCACAUGAUUUCAUUUCUCCAGAUCUAGGAGUGCAAUUGCUAUAUUAUAUGGCAACCCCGUGUUUCACUUUUUGACAAAGUGCCAGACUGCUUUUCAAAGGACAGCAUCAUUUUAUAUUCCUGCCAGCAAUGUCGAGGGGUCCAGUUUCCACACAUUCUCACAAACACUUAUUGUUAUCUGUCUCUCUAGUUAUUGCCUUCCUGAUGGAUGUGGAGUGCUUUCUCAUUGGUUUUGAUUUGCAUUGUUUAAAUGAGUUAUAAGAUUGAGCAUGUUUUCAUGUUUAUUGGCUGCUUGUAUAUCUUCUUUGGAGAAAUGUCUAUUCAGAUUGUCUCCCCAUUUUAAAAUCGUGUUAUUUUCUUUUUUACUAUUGACUUGUGAAUGUUCA